ensembl:scaRNA
GUGACAAUCCUGUGAUGGCCUCAGUGGUGAGUUAAAUGUACUGAUGUCUAUGGCAGUCACAUACACAAACAUGACUCCUACCGACGGGACCCACUAAGUAGUUGGAUCACCUGUGCGAUGGUUUCAUACAAC